rnacentral:lncRNA from 1 species
CAUAUUGGAUGACAUUUGAUUUUCUGAUUCUGGUUUCUCCAGAUUUACAGCUUUGGUAGGAUAAUGGCCUCCAAAGUUGCAAUUCUGUAUGGCAGAGGAUGAUAAAUUCAUUAAACAUCAACCUGAGGCUGAGUAGCAGUUUAUUCCAGUAGCACAGCGAUUCCUUUUCUGGAUCUGUGCUUUUUUGAGUUUCAGUUGAAUAUGGAUUUGCUGACAAUAAGUAUAUAGAUUAAGUUAAUGACUUGUAUCUGUAAUUUCAGGUUUGUUCAAAGUCAUACAAGGCUUCCCCGCGAUACGGAAUACUUCUUCUAUGAAAUCAGGUCAGAUUAUUAACGUUGCAAGCUGCUUUGAUGGUGCACUUUGUUUUAUAAUCUUCGUGUGGGUGGAGAGUCUUUUUAUUGAAUUUAUUAAAAAUAAGUCUCAGACCGAUGCUUUAAAUUAGUUGAGCCAUAUAAAAUCAAAAUAUCAAUGUAUGGAUCGAAAUAACUGAUUUUCCCAUUUGGUGUUGGUUUAAAUCUUUUAGUAGUGGUAGAUUUUAUGAAAAAAUUUCUUUGUGCUCAUCCAUUGACCUCCCAGUUUUAUAGUUUGUACAUCGUCAUUUUGGGAUGUGCUUCCAUGCUAUUCUGCUAGAGCUUUUGGUGUCUACUUAUUGAAAUAUGGAUUGUUGCUACAACCUUCUUCCAACAACAUCCUUGCAGUUUUAUGGCGCCUCUAGCAAAUGCUCCUUUAUUGACUUCACAUUCAUCCUAUAUAUGUAUUAAACAUUAUUGCCUUUUGCUUCCACAUCUCCACAAAAUAACAUCUGCUUUUGUGACAUAAAAAUGGAUUUCUCCCUCCGGCUCACUAUCCAGCGGCUGGCUGAAGUAUCAUUUCUGCUGUUUAAACUUUUUCUUCAAGUUCUCCCAUUUCCUUAUAAAACAGAAAUACAGAAUUGAACUUUUUGAAAUAGCGCCCAUCUAUAAUUAUGAAGGUCUAAAAUUUACUGAAGAAAAUAUUCCUGAAAAAUUUUCCUCCCCAUUUGCCUCAGUAUUGGCCAUUGGAGCAAAUUGACUAGGUCUAUGUAUUUGAGGACUUUCAGCGGUUUCGCCAGUAAUUGGUUGUGGUAUGUAGCACAGAACCCCUGGUUCUCCAAACACAAACCCGGAAAUACCUAUUGGAAAAGAACUUGCAUGACUGAUUUUCCGAACAGGGAGCUGACUCGCCUAAGACAGCGUACUGUGCACAGGCUUAGGGCUAAAACUUUGUUCACUUUUGUGAUCCGCAAGCUGAAGACUUAUAAAGUGUAAUGGUAAAUUAGGUCGAUAUGUACGUGUUACAGGCUAUAACAUUAUGUAGAUAUAACAUAUCAAGUACACAAUUAUAUGCAUACCGGAUUUAACAAGUAACAACUCAUGUAGGUCGGCCCAAAAAUGCUGACAAAUUGGUACAUAUUAGUUAUUUUUUUGUGCUUAUAUCUUGGUGGAGAACAUGAUUAAAUGAUGUAAUAUACCUAAGUGAUACUCCUGUUUCUGGGUCCAUGAAGACGCAGAUAAGGCAGACAGUCUAUUAACAUAUGCGGCAGAGAAGUUGAAAUCAGUAUUAAAGUUGAUUAGGCCAACUCCACUUUUUUUGUAAAUAACUGUUACUCACAACUUGCUUUCAGAAAAGGGAACAAAACUGGCGGGAGCGAAUUCGAAUAUAUAUUAUCACCGCAAUAAUUUAAUAACCAGGAAACGAUGUUCCUGAAACAAUUCACAAAGCCAUUCAAGCACAGUAGGAGACUACGAGUUGCCCUCCUGCUGUAUAUGUCAAGAGCAUCUUCAAUGGGGCUCUUAAAUCACUCUUUAAAAUAUUAUUAUAUAAUAUUGGCUUCUACUGAAUUAAGACAUUGAAAAAGAUUUUAUCUCCAAUGCUCCUCUUUAGACUUACUCCUUAUUCAUAUUUUAUUCAUAUAAAUGAGAGUGAAAAAUAAAAAGAAAGAAAUGUUGGUGGUAAAGUUGGAGGGAAGGUAAUAUUAUAUUCAUGAAAAAAUGUUAAGAGCUCCUACAUACUCUUUAAAAUAGAGGAGAGAUGACGAGCUCUUAAUUUUUUAAAGAGCUUCAAAGAGCCCAUUGGAGCUCUAUUUCUUGCAUUACUCUUUAAAUUUGAAGUUAAAAACUCAUUUAGAGAUCCCUUUGGAGAUGCUCUAAGAAACAAAAGUUACUGAUUUGAUAUGGGGUUCAAUUAUCGUUUGUUAAAGUUGACUAUUGGAGUAAUUUCACUAUAGGGAAAUAGAAUCUCAUCUACUUGUAAUAUUUUGAUUGAAAUUCGGUGUAUAUUUGUACAAAAAUGAGUAAACGAGGGAGUGGAAUUAACUUUUGAUAAUGGAGGAACAACGGCGGUGGACCAGUCCCGGUUCUCAAUACACGGAAGAAUGUGCAAGAAAAUUGAGUGUGAACCCCAGUGGUGGGAACACCCUUUGUUCUUUUCUUAAUUUUUUCAAAUCUUUGUGUUUACAUGUUUUAAAUAAUUAAAUAUGUUUUGGGUUAAACCACAAAUAAAGUAUAGUCUGAUCCCUUUAAUCCUGCAAAUGUAGAAAAAGCAAAUGUGUACAGCUAGUAAAAAGACUGGAGGUACACAGUACUUUGCAGACUCAACACCCCUUUCCUUGGAAUCUUUUUUGUACUAUAAAAUCACACUUGCUCUGUCUACUCUUUCUUCAAACUCCCAACACAAAAACACACACACACACACACACACACACACACUUACAAGAGUUUGAAGAUGGCUUGGAGCUCACCAAGAUGGAAAUGGGUGGCAGUUUGUACUUUUGUAAUGGCUCAUACAGUUGCUGCUCAAGUUGAAGAUGGUAUCACUUCUUUCUUUCUCUUUUCUACAAAUUACAACUAUUCUUCUUAUUCUUUUUUAUUAUUAUUUGCAAAAGAUUAGUCUGUGUUUAUGGGAGUUAUAGUUUCAAUUUCUUAUAUUGUCAUGGGUGUGGUUUGAUUUCAUGGGUGUUCAUGUUCUUUCUUUAAAAUGAGAUCUGAGCAAAUACUGAGACUCGUGGAUAUGGAAUAUUUUAAUCACUUUUGAAGUACUCACAUUUAUGUCAAUAGGACAGUCAAUUCUCCUGUAUCAUGAACUACACAAACUCUUCUUUCACUUAAAGUUUCUGACCCCAAAAACAUGAGUUUGGUGCUGGAACCUUUAUUUUAGUGUAAAUUAUUGAAAUUUACGAUGUACCUAUUUCAGCCUCUUUUUUUUUUUUUUUCAGAUGUUGCCUUUGUGUUCAUCUAACUUGCAUGUUCUACUUUCCUACCUAUAUAUCAUUCAUUUGUUCAUCAAUUUAUAUUGGUGUCAGGGUUAUACAUUUUUCUUUGGUUUAGCGAGUGACUAAGCAUGUCCAAACCAGUACUAAAUGCUUGGUAAUUUUUUAAGUCAUUUACCUUUUUCUCGUCAUUUGAUUGCAGCCCUUCAUCUGGCGAAUUCAGUGGCAGUAAUAUCAGACUGGGAUCUAGGGGAGACAGCUACUACGAAUAUCUUAUUAAAGUAUGGCUUCAGCAUAGGGACAGAAACUACACAUAUUUAUAUGACAUGUAUGCAGAAGCAAUAAAAGGUGUCAAACACCUUCUUGUUCAAAAAUCUACUCCAAACGGAUUGGUCUUUGUUGGGGAGUUACCUUCUGGGUAUGGUGCUGAAUUCAGUCCAAAAAUGGACCACUUGGUAUGCAUUUCUAAACUGUUUUUUUGCCUCAAUUUUACUCAACCAAAGUAUGUCUGUAUAGAGGCAUAUUUGUUGGUAUUUGCUAAUAUAAAACAUGAAGCAGAUAUUUCGACCAGAAGUAUUCUGUAUAUUGGAAGGAUUGAGGAAUAUGGAUACGGACAAUACAAUUGAUACAAACAAUUAAAUUCUGCCCCUGGUUAUUUAAUACAUCCCCUUUAAGCUACAUGAACAAUUCGCCUUGUUUAAACUUUUUGAUGUAGUUUUCAGUGCCAAUCAAGGUGCAAAUUAAGUCCUCCGUUUUCUUUUACCUAUAUCUAAAAAAUGAGUAACUAAUCGCUCAAUGGUCAUUUUGAAAAUCUCUUUACUAUGUAACAUAUAUACUUGGUAAGAUAUCUCUAUACAUGUGCACUAUAAGAAAUUUACUUUUGACCUUACAACUUUGUUUUUCUCUGCUAUCUUAAGCUGCUAAGAGGAUUGUUCCAAGAAAAUGACGUUGGGCAUGGUUUCGAUCCAAGUAUAGUUUUAGGUUUAUUAUGCUAUACUUGUAAUUGUCCGCAUCCUUUGAUGCAUUGAUUAGAGAUCGUCUGCAAGUUAUUACAUUAAUUUCUUUGUUUCACCUGAUGCUCAUAAAAUAUGUCUUUGAAUACUAUACACUUUGUGAUUGUAAAAUAACAUCCUUCAUGCUCAUUUGCAUCGCUCUCCCUUGAUACAUGUAUCCACAUAUAACAGUGACAUGUAUCAUUACUUGUGUAAUAUAUAUAUUGAGCUCAGUAUCUGAGGUGUUCGGAAAUUAUUAUUUGUGGUUGGCUUAGUAGUUCCAGUUCUCUCAUUUUAAGCUAUUAUAUUGAUGAUAAACCAUCUACUGAAAGCCUGGCACAACAUCCUGGGUUGGUUUUUCCUAGAAGAUUUUCAGACUUAAAUACUAAUAUUUACAAUUUUUAGGUUUGUUUCCUUCCUGGGACUCUUGCACUUGGUGCUACCAAAGGUAUAACGAAGGAAAAGGCUAUGAGAGAAAAUUUGCUCACUUUCGAAGACAUUGAAAACCUGAAGCUUGCAGAAGAGUUGGCAAAAACAUGCUUUGAGAUGUACUCCGUAACUGCCACUGGUCUUGCUCCAGAAAUAGCCUACUUUAGUGUGAAGGUUAGUUGAACUCUCAUAUCAUCUAGUGUUUUUAAAUGUGCUGGUUCAUAAUUAUUUCUAUCUUAAAUUCAGGGGGACUCUGAAGAAGGUUCUGAUGGUGGAAACAAAAGUUCAAAGUAUCUACAUGACAUAAUUAUCCACCCUGCUGAUCGUCACAAUCUCUUACGUCCUGAAACUGUUGAAUCAUUGUUUGUCUUGUAUCGUAUCACAGAAGAUCAGAAGUAAGAUCCAUUUGUUUGUAAUAUUGGAUUAUAUAUUUUGUUCCAUGCUUUUAUUUCACAUAAUGUUAAUAGUUACAUCUACUGUUUGACGACGCAUGCAGAUAUCGUGAAUGGGGUUGGGAAAUAUUUGAGGCAUUUGAGAAGUAUACAAAAGUUGAUUCUGGAGGUUACACUUCUUUAGAUGAUGUUACUGUGGUUCCUCCUCGAAGAAGGGACAAGAUGGAAACCUUCUUCUUGGGUGAAACGCUGAAGUAUCUAUAUUUACUGUUUUCAGAUAACAAAACUAUUCCCUUGGAUGAGUUUGUUUUUAACACAGAAGCUCAUCCAUUGCCAAUCAGAAGUAAUGCUAAGAGGGAAUGAUAUUCUGACUGCAGCACUGGCAAUUGUACAAUUCCCAUCUUGUUGUUCCUCUAAAUGGAACCAUGUAAUGAACAUUGUUCAAUUGUUGUAUCUUAAAGCAGUAGGGAUCCUGGCCCAUUAUAUUGACAAAUAGCAUUGGGGAUAACUUCAUUUACUCAUCUACAGUGCACGACCUCAGGCUGCCUCUUAACACACUAAAAUUCCCAAUUACGGGAAAAGGUUUUGGAGUUCUUUAUACAGUACGCGUGGCGUAAUACAUCAUUGCAGUGUUGCAUGUUGAUCUUCUGUUUAUUAUAUCUGUCAGGAUAACCUUAACUAUAUUCUAGACUGUUGGUCGGAUAAGUGGAAGUUUCUUCUCAGUUUCGUAUCAUUGUCAAUAUAUCUCUGGUACGAUAAACAAAUGGUCUCCAUAUUGGAUGACAUUUGAUUUUCUGAUUCUGGUUUCUCCAGAUUUACAGCUUUGGUAGGAUAAUGGCCUCCAAAGUUGCAAUUCUGUAUGGCAGAGGAUGAUAAAUUCAUUAAACAUCAACCUGAGGCUGAGUAGCAGUUUAUUCCAGUAGCACAGCGAUUCCUUUUCUGGAUCUGUGCUUUUUUGAGUUUCAGUUGAAUAUGGAUUUGCU